rnacentral:rRNA from 1 species
UAGUCAUAUGCUUGUCUCAAAGAUUAAGCCAUGCACGUCCAAGUAUACGCUUUUACUCGGUGAAACUGCGAAUGGCUCAUUACAACAGUUAUAGUCGAUUGGACGACGCUAAUUACAUGGAUAACCGUGGUAAUUCUAGAGCUAAUACAUGAACCGAUGUUCGACCGCAAGGAAGAGCAGUGUCUAAUUAGAUAACGAACCAUUACGCUUUGCGUCUCUUUUGGUGAGUCAUAAUGAUUUAACAAAUCGAACGGCUUUGGCUGUCGAUGUGUCCUUUGAGUUUCUGGCCUAUCAGCUUUCGACGGUAGGGUAUUGGCCUACAGUGGCUACGACGGGUAACGGGGAAUUAGGGUUCGAUUCCGGAGAGGGAGCCUGAGAGACGGCUACCACAUCUAAGGAUAGCAGCAGGCGCGCAAAUUACCCAAUCCUGACACAGGGAGGUAGUGACAAGAAAUAACAACACAGGGCAAUUGCUUUGUGAUUGGAAUGAGUGUAGUUCAAAAGUCUACGCAAGUACCAAUU